UACUCUGUCAUAUGAUUCAAACAGCUAUCAAUGAGCUCUAAGACUAAAACAAUCAUAUGUAUUAUGCCUAAAUCAGGUGGUUACUCUUAUCAUUUCCCUAAUAAGGUCAGAAAAUAGUUGUUUUUUUUUCAUUUCUGUGUAAUUAAUAAUAAAUGAAUGUAGAAUCAUCAUGACCAUUUCUAAUGCUUCUGCUUAAAUGUUUAAUGAGCUCACUAAGCAGUGCACUUAUAUAUUGUACAUGUAUGUAUGAUGUAUUGUGAGUUAUGAAACAUAAGUUAAUCUUUUCAUUUUAAUCAUUACAGAAAAUGGAUUGUCUGCACUCAUGCGUCAUCGCAGUACGAGGAUUUCAACCUAAAAAGAAACCCUGCACAUUUGCAGCUGUACAGAAUGCAGUUCAUGUCAUAUGCUGUUAGAGUAAAUGAUGAAAGAUGUUCAAACCAGUGUCACUGAGUCCUAAGUCUGAAAUCAUGGUGUUUUUAUUAAGGAGAUCAGUGUGUUUUCUGUGCAUUGUUGACAUUUGAAGAACUGUUCGGUUUAUGACCAUCUCUCUGACAAUAACUCUGACAUUUGAAUUUCAAUUUGAGCGACGGUAAAGAAAGCCAAAUUAUAUGCAUGUGAAACAUUUAACAAGUGUAAUAAAAACAUUGAUAAACUUUAAUUUAAACAAAGUUCAUGUACAUGUAUCUGUGAUCUUUGCAUUGAAAUUCAUAAAUGCUGUACAUGGAUACUUUUAAUGACUGUCUCAUUGUAAUGGAAUAUUCAAUUGUUAAACAUUGUUGAGGAAUCACCUUGAAUAAAAAUAUUGUGAACUUGAUAAA